rnacentral:rRNA from 1 species
UACGAAAGGUGCAAGCGUUACUCGGAAUCACUGGGCGUAAAGGGUGCGUAGGCGGGUCUUUAAGUCAGGGGUGAAAUCCUGGAGCUCAACUCCAGAACUGCCUUUGAUACUGAAGAUCUUGAGUUCGGGAGAGGUGAGUGGAACUGCGAGUGUAGAGGUGAAAUUCGUAGAUAUUCGCAAGAACACCAGUGGCGAAGGCGGCUCACUGGCCCGAUACUGACGCUGAGGCACGAAAGCGUGGGGAGCAAACAGG